UACAGAGGUGGCAAGCGUUGUUCGGAAUUACUGGGCGCAAAGGGCGCGUAGGCGGCUUUUUAAGUCAGACGUGAAAUCCCCCGGCUUAACCUGGGAACUGCGUCUGAUACUGGGAAGCUUGAGUUCGGGAGAGGGAUGUAGAAUUCCAGGUGUAGCGGUGAAAUGCGUAGAUAUCUGGAGGAAUACCGGUGGCGAAGGCGGCAUCCUGGACCGAAACUGACGCUGAGGCGCGAAAGCUAGGGGAGCAAACGGG
rnacentral:rRNA from 1 species